rnacentral:tRNA from 1 species
GGGAGUGGAUAGGUGCUGGUGUGCCUAACGGUCUUCAAAACCGAUUUGGGGAGUUAGUAGCUUCCCGGGUGAGUUCGAUUCUCACGCACUCCCGCCA